rnacentral:rRNA from 1 species
UUGUGGGAUUGCUCUUCUCAGUUCUGCCGAGCUGGGCGUGAGUCAGAAACCGUUGUGUUAGCUGAAUUGGUCUGGGACGGCCAACCGUAGACGGUGAGAGUCCGGUAAGCGAAAACUCAACGGCUCAUGUGAGCAACACCCGAGUAGCAGCGGGCCCGUGAAAUCUGCUGUGAAUCUGCCGGGACCACCCGGUAAGCCUGAAUACUCCCUGGUGACCGAUAGCGGACUAGUACCGUGAGGGAAAGGUGAAAAGUA